GUUAGCAAAAUUAAAUGCUGAUUGGAACUUUGAAAGUACUGCUCUUUGGACUGAAACCUGUGCUUCUCUCAAGACCCUAAAGAUCUUUUAAUUGCAAACAAAAUCUUUGUUUUGCAGUCCUCUCCAGCUGUGGGGGAAUGACUAGUAACCAACAUCAGACUGCCAUGCUGAUGGAUGUGGAGCAGGAAUAAGCCCCUCAGAUGUGUGUUUGUGGGCUAUUGGUGCAUGUCUGGGUGUGCUGCAAAGGAACAGCCUGAACACCAAGGGCCUUCAAUCACUUGAAAGGCUUGCCAAAAACUCUGACCUGCUGAUCACGGUGCCCCCGUGUUGCUCUGUGUCUUGUCUCGAGUGGCUGCUCUCCUUUCCCUGUUAAUCAUGUGUGCCAAGUUGAGAAGGAUGCCACACUGUGAGGAGUGGGAAGGCUGGCAGGAAAAUGUUCCAUGGCAGUUCUGGAUGGUCACUGCGGUCUGAAAGAGAUGCUGCAAUGCAAAAAAUGUUGCAGGAACUUGCAUUGAAUUCUCAGACUGUUUUUCUCAGAAAGAACCUUGACAGUGCAUCAACAACAGGACAACAGUAAUGUCUGAAAAACCCCAGAUACAGUGAUCUCCUGCUAAAAUACAAGAGAUUCUCAGUGUGGAAUCCAGAGCUACACUCAACCUGUCCAUUUCCACUUCACCUGACAUUAACAGAAAUAUCUUUUUGAUAUGGCUCAGAACUAGAGAUGAACUGUUGGGCUCUUGAUGCAACCGAGGCAAAGCGCGAUUUAUCUCUGAGGCCACAGCGAAGGCUCUGCUCCAGGGUAAGUUACUGAUUUCCUCCAGGACCUUUGCUAUCACAGUUUAUUACUAUCAAAUUUCUGUGGAUCUGUUAAUUAGCAUUACAAAAUUUCCUUUGGUUUUGGUUUUUACUUCUAGUUUUUAUAGGCAGAAAAUCCAAGUCAGUCACAUAGUUUGCUCCUGUUUGCAAACCUGCAAGUACCAA